rnacentral:rRNA from 1 species
AAUAGAUACCCGGGUAGUCCACGCCGUAAACGAUGAGUGCUAAGUGUUAGAGGGUUUCCGCCCUUUAGUGCUGCAGCUAACGCAUUAAGCACUCCGCCUGGGGAGUACGGUCGCAAGACUGAAACUCAAAGGAAUUGACGGGGGCCCGCACAAGCGGUGGAGCAUGUGGUUUAAUUCGAAGCAACGCGAAGAACCUUACCAGGUCUUGACAUCCUCUGACAACUCUAGAGAUAGAGCGUUCCCCUUCGGGGGACAGAGUGACAGGUGGUGCAUGGUUGUCGUCAGCUCGUGUCGUGAGAUGUUGGGUUAAGUCCCGCAACGAGCGCAACCCUUGAUCUUAGUUGCCAGCAUUUAGUUGGGCACUCUAAGGUGACUGCCGGUGACAAACCGGAGGAAGGUGGGGAUGACGUCAAAUCAUCAUGCCCCUUAUGACCUGGGCUACACACGUGCUACAAUGGAUGGUACAAAGGGCUGCAAGACCGCGAGGUCAAGCCAAUCCCAUAAAACCCAUUCUCAGUUCGGAUUGUAGG